GGAGGAUGAAAUGCAGAUACCUGACCUCCUGUGUACCUACCUUUCCCAAUACUAUGUGUUCACCACAGUACACAGUGUCUGGUCACCAGCUUUUGUGUUUGGGCCUGGCCUCCAUAUCCAGAGUGGACCUCAAUGCUAACCAUUCUGUCAGUCUUCAUCUCCCUCACCCACAGACCUUCUGCCAUUCCUACUAGCUACAAAGGACACUGGGAAACAGGAGCACACACAAGCCUGAUAGUUCUACCUUGUUGCUUUGGGUUUUUUUCCCCUUCUUGUUUACAGGUACUGGUAAUCUACAGAGUAAGUCACAAAUUGUUCUCAGAGCUUUAUUUUUUUAAUUAUAGUUUUUUAAUAAUGAUUUUUAUUUUUUUCCAUUAUAGUUGGUUUACAUAUUUCUUCAAUUUCUGUUGUACAGCAAAGUGACCCAAUCACACACAGUUCCUGUGUUGUACAGAAGGGCCCAAUUGCCCAUCCAUUCCAAAUACAACAAUUUGCAUCUGAAAAUUCCAAACUCCUGGUCCUUAUCCAGUCCAUCCCACUCCGUAAGUCUGCUCUCCCUUGACCUUGAUCUGUUUCUGUUUUGGAGAUAGAAAAACUGAUCCCAGAGCUUUAAAUGAAAUGUACGCAGCUCUUCUGCAACGAGCUGUCCUAGUUGCUUGACGGUUCCUCUGCCCUUUCUUUUUAGUUCCCCCUCACAUGCUGCUGAGUCCUAACUCUAAAGUGUCUCAGCUUCAUGCAUAUUCUCUGAGCCUGGCAUUUAUCCUCUGAUUCUAGAGGUAUAUUGAGCCUGCUCCACUGUUGUGAGUGAAGGAAGCUUCUCUUGAGUGUUUCUCAGGAUCUUCACCCAUUUUUCUGCUCUUGUUUUGUAAUCUCAGGGAAAGAGGCAUCCUUCUGCUUUGUCACUGUUCUCCUCAAUCUCAUGUUCUCCUGCUACCCCUGGGAUCUUGCUUUUCUGGUCAUUUCUCAUAUAUAUUUUUUGCUUUUUAGGGCCAUAGAGGUAGCAAAUGGAAGUUCCCAGACUAGAGGUCUAACUGGAGAUACAGCUGCCAGCCUAUGCUACAGCCAUAGCAAUGAGCCGCGUCUAUAGCCUACGCCACAGCUCACAGCAAUGCAGAUCCCUGAUCCACUAAGCAAGGCCAGGAUCAAACCCCCAUCCUCAUGGAUACUAGUUGAAUUUGUUUCCUCUGUGCUACAAUGGGGACUUCCUAUUUAAAAUAUAUAUUAGGGCCACAGAUGUGGCAUAUGGAAGUUCCCAGGCUAGGGGUAAAAUUAGAGCUACAGCUGCUGGUCUACCCCACAGCCCACAGCAAUACCAGAUCCAAGCCCCGUCUGUGACCUACACUGCAGCUUGUGGCAGUGCCGAUCCUUAACCCACUGAGCAGGGCCAGGAAUUGAACCCACAUCCUCAUGGAUACUAGUCAGGUUCAUCACUGCUGAACCACAAUGGGACUGCCUAUAUUUUAUUUCAAUUCGUUUUCCAGAGACAUGAUUGCACACCUCCCUCCAUUUGACAAAUACUCAAGUUGCCAUUAACUAAAAACAAACACACAAACUGAAAAAACAAGUAGUCAAGAUAAUAAGCAACUCCCGCCCCAGAACUCCUUGACCCUGAUACUACUUCUCCAUCUUUCUUUUCUUUUCUUUCUUUUCUUUCUUUCAUCCUUCCUUCCUUUCUUUCUUUCUUUCUUUCUUUCUUUCUUUCUUUCUUUCUUUCUUUUUGCUUUUUAGGGCCUUAAGGGUGGCAUAUAGAAGUUCCCAGGCUAGGGGUCAAAUUGGAGCUAUAACUGCUGGCCUACAGCACAGCCACAGCAAUUCAGGAUCCAAGCCGCAUCUGUGACCUACACCACAGCUCACAGCAAUGCUGGAUCCUUAACCCACCACUGAGCGAGGCCAGGGAUCCAACCUGCAUCCUUGUGGGUGCUAGUUGGGUUUGUAACCCACUGAGCCACAACAGGAACUCCUCUCCACCUUUCUUUGCUGACAAACAUCUUAGUCUGCCCCUGCCACCUCUUUGGAACCCACACACUUCUAGGAAUAUGAACUCAGUAUUAUGCUCAAAGUGUUCUCUUCUUGUCAUCAAGAGCUCAGGGUCUGUAACUCAAAAGAACUCAUCUCAGUUCUUAACCUCUCUACUCUCUCUGCAAUAUGGGGCAUCUUGGCUAGCCACACUGGGAUGGACUGAGUGUGUCCUUCCAAAAUUCAAAUGUUGAAGCCCUAAUCCCCAGUGUGAUGGUAUUUAGACUUAGAUUUUUGGGAGUAAUUAGGUCAUGAGGCUGGAGCCUUCUUGAAUGAGAUUAGUGCCCUUAUAAGAGACUUUCAUAGAGAUCAUCUAUGAAAAGACUUUCAUCUUUUCAUAGAUGAUCUCUCCUUCCACUGUAUAGGAAUACAGCGAGAAGGCAGCCACUUACAAACUAGGGAGAGAGCCCUCACCAAGAACCCAACCAUACCAACACCCUGAUCUUAGACUUCCAGCCUUUAGAACUGUGAGAAAGAAUUGUUUGUUGUUUACCCCAGCUAGUCUAUAGUCUAUAGUAUUCUGUUGUAGCAGCCCAAACAGCCUAAGGCACAUACCUUAAAAUUUCAGUUGAACUUUGUGAUGCUGAGUGCUUCUCUGUUCCUCUGAUUCUUUAUUACUACUAUAAAGACUUGCCCUUUGGUUCUCUUCCUUAUUUCUAAAUGAAGAUUCUCCUUCUUCUUAGUUCUUUCAUUGCACUCCUUGGCUGUAGUCUUUCUGUAAGUGAUUUUAUAUAGUCACAAGAAUUAAAAUAGCACCUUUUAAAGAAUACCGCCAAACCAUGUAUCACUGCAGUGACCUGUCUUGGAUGUGCAUUUUCAAUUGUUUGAUGCAUAUUUUCACCUAAAAGAUGACACAUUGAUUCAAACUUAAACUCAGCAUGAUCGAAACCGAACUCACUUUUUUCUUCUUGUUACUACUUUAGUUCAUUCUUUCAUCACUAGUUAUGAAGAAUACAAUACGUUCCUAACUGAUGCUCUAAUGUUUGGAUAUUCUGUUCAUAAUUUAUAUAUGCGUGGAUAAAUUUAGUAAUGAGAGAUUAUUUUUCAAACUUUGGCCUUGUUUAAAAACAUUCAGUAGCAACUAUUGCCUACUGAAUUAUACCUAGUCAGAAGCUUGCCUUUAAGAUGCUUUACAAUAUGUAUAUGCCAUUUUCAGACUUAUUCUUCUAAAACACUCUACAAAUUCCCUGUGCCACAUAUAAAACUGACAACUCAUGGUUCCAUGGAUGUGCUUUGUCCAUUCUUGUUUCCAUUUCAAUAGACUGACAUGAAAAAAUGGUUAAUAAAUAAUAGAUUACUUUUAAAAUGGAUACUGGUGGAUUCAUCCUGGGUUGAAUCCAUUAACCGACAGAUGAUGUCUUUCUCUAAACUGUCUCUGAAUGUAGCUAAGAAAAAAAUUGAGUGGAGAGGUAUAUAUCUGUUAUAACUUGUUUGUCUUUGAUCAUUGCCAGAUUUUUAUAGUGUAUGUCUUCUCUCCCAAAGAAUGCUGACUGUAAGUUCCUUGUGGACAUGACAUGACUUAUUCUUCUUUAUAUCUUCUAAAAUAUGAAGAACACAUAAUAAAUAUUUCACAUGUAUUUGUUGAAAGGACAUAUGGGUGGUUAAAAAAUGGAUACUGUGCAUUUUGUCCUUUGAGAUAACUUAUCUAUUAUUUAUCAUACAAGCCUGGUUUACCAUUCCAAAUGAAAGCUUUAUGGUAAACAUCUGAAGUCCUAAACAAAUGGAAAUUAAGCUGCUCACAAAUUUAUCUGGUGAUUACAAGUCACUUUGUGAUGCUUUUCCCAUUUUAUCUUCCAGCUUAAUUUUGCUGGAAAGCAUACCUCAUGAAUGGCUCUAGCAAGUUGUGAUGCCAGCUGGGGGAAUUUUGCCGUUUAUAGCACGAGCCAUUUCACAGAUUUUUCAGGGAUUUUUGAGACUGGUGAUACUGCAAAGAUAAUGCGCAUUCUCUAUGUCAAAAGAUGUGAAUUAAUGAGGUGAAGGAAACAUUUAUCUAUUGCAAAUGACCAGGGAAGUUUUGCCAAAUUUCCUCAAGUUGUCUCUUUUCUCUUGGCAUUCACUUGGAAGGAGUAUAUCCUGGUAAUGGGAAUCACAUGUGAUUAAAGAGACCUUCAUGAACUGAUGCAGACCUUCACACGGCUAUAGUCAGGGGUUUGGAGGAUACUGGAAGUUGACUUAAUCUUUGAGACAAAUCUAGAAUAUAUAGGAAAAUGUGAUCAAUGAAAAAUGUGCAACCUCUGUAUGUCCAACGCAAAGUCAUAUGGUAUGUGUGUGUGUGUGUGUGUGUGUGGUUAUCCCUAUGUGAAGUGGUAAUUAAUAUGCUGAAAAUAAAAACCGUUCUAGAGAAAAGUCCUAAAAGCUGACAAAGGCUGUUACCUUUAAAGUAAAAUUCCUGGAUAAUUGAGGAUGUAGACCAUCACUUUGGGAGCUUCUCUUUAUCCUCUGAGUAAGAAAGAAGAGCGUUUCAGGGAUUUGUGCUCUCUAGAUGCUGUGUAUCCACUUAACUAAAAAAUAGACUCUACUUGGGGUCUACAUAAAGAUUUUCUUAUACUUACUCUGCCUUCAACUCUACACAUUUAUGGCAAAGUGGAAAUACUUUUUGCUCUUAUUUCCUAGGCUAAACAGUCCCUUAUCUGGUUCAACAGAUUGACCUCUGGCCUAAAGGGCAAGUGAGACUCUUCAGAUAGUUUUGUCUUGUGGUCUGUUGGAUGCCAUUACUCCCAGGUAGCUAGAGCACAUUCUUUCAUUCUCUUUGGGCCUUGAUUUUGCUCUUUAAAAUUAACUAAUUAAUUAAUCUUCUUUUUAUAGCUGCACCUGCAGCAUAUGGAAGUUCCUGAAUCAGGGAUUGAAUCAGAGCUACAGCUGUGGCCUGCACCACAGCAGCCCUGGAUCUUAGCUGCAUCUGUUGCAGCAACGCUGAAUCCUUAACUCAUUGAGUGAGGCCAGGAGUUGAACCCGCAUCCUUACAGAGACUAUGCCAGGUCCUUAACCUGCUGAGCCACGAGGGAAACUCCUUGAUUUUGCUUUUAUCUGCCUUUUUUGUUCUGUGUCAGAUCUUCCCUCAUCCCACUCUUUACUAUUCCUAUUCUUUCUUCUGCUUCCUUUGUUUUCAUCUGUACAAAUUUGAGAUGCCUAGAAGUUAAUGUGGCUUGUUAAAUAUUCUCUGCACAGAGCCUGGAGAAAAGUGCUGUAUAUAUCAGGUAUAUAAUGAUAAGGAAUCAAAUUCUGCUCUGUACUUUUGCCUCUUUCUGGUAGUAAGUUAUGUAAUAAUGUUAUAAAUGAUCAAUUGGCAGCCUGGUGGGGUGAAUGUACUUCUCUGAGUGCCUCGUGAACACCCUGGGAAUGGCUUAGGUAUGAGGAAGAAUAUAAACUAAUAAUACAUGCCAGCUCUGAUUCCUUUGAGAAUUCAUGUCCUGAGAAAUUUCAAUGGAACAAUCUAAUUUUUUCAUCCACAAUAGUGUUUGAUUUGCAUUCAAGGAGGGAUAUUUUCCUGUCUGGCUACUUAGGGAUGGAGUUCAGAGUCAGAAAACAUUUUAUAUCCUUAGGUUUUCUUCAUUGCCUAUUAACAGUGAAUACUCACUAAGUUCAUGGCACUGCUUGGAAGGAGAGCUGAGUUAAGAUCAAAACCAGGCUGGCUGGUGCCUUUGAGAGCCACUACAGCCACAAACACUGCAAGUGUCCCUUGCCGGGAACCCAGCUAAGGAAGGACUCCUCUGAGAUAGCUACUAUCCUGAUCUGCCAAAUUGCAUGUACAAAAAAGAAAAGCUUAUUACCUGUCGUUGGAGAAUGACAACUAGAUAUGAUAGCAUUGAUAAUACCAAAUCCCAAAGAGAUGGACAGUACACUUUUUUUUCCUGUAAAUUGUUUAUAAUUUUAUUGAAACAUAUUAUGCUCACUUAAAAACAAUGUCAUAGUCCUAACAAAUCUAAGAGAAUAAACACCUUAUAAAGACUAAGGAAAGUAGGAUCUUCAUGGACUACAACUAUCAAAGGAAAACCUCAUGGAGAUGGUUGAAG
rnacentral:lncRNA from 1 species